UCACUCACAAGCCAAUAGAGAGGUUCUAU
rnacentral:piRNA from 1 species